rnacentral:rRNA from 1 species
ACCAGACUCCUACGGGAGGCAGCAGUGGGGGAUAUUGCACAAUGGGGGGAACCCUGAUGCAGCGACGCCGCGUGAGUGAAGAAGUAUUUCGGUAUGUAAAGCUCUAUCAGCAGGGAAGAAAGAGACGAAAGUCUUGUGACAGUACCUGACUAAGAAGCCCCGGCUAACUACGUGCCAGCAGCCGCGGUAAUACGGGGGGUGCAAGCGUUGUCCGGAAUCAUUGGGCGUAAAGCGUUCGUAGGCGGUACGUCAAGUCUGAUGUUAAAGCCCGGGGCUCAACUCCGGUUCGGCAUUGGAUACUGGCAAACUAGAAUGUGGUAGAGGUAAAGGGAAUUCCUGGUGUAGCGGUGAAAUGCGUAGAUAUCAGGAGGAACAUCGGUGGCGAAAGCGCUUUACUGGACCAUUAUUGACGCUGAGGAACGAAAGCCAGGGGAGCAAAUGGGAUUAGAUACCCCAGUAA